CAAAGUAAACAUUUGAGGAUUAUUUAUCCAUAAGUCAAAAGAUCCAAAAUAUGGCGCAUCAAGGGAUAACUUAUCAUUGUUGCAAAGUAUUGAAGAUGAUUAAUAAUCAUCUAACAAUAGAUUUGUAACAAUGAAAUUUAUACAACCCCAAGUCCAUCUAUCAAUCGUUUGAAAAAUAGAAGAUUAUAUCACUCAAAUGAUUAUAAGUUUGUUUUCUUCUUUUUUUUACUAUACAAGGUGGUAAGAAACAAAUAAAUUGGCACAAUGUAGAUUAUAUAUGAA
rnacentral:lncRNA from 1 species